rnacentral:rRNA from 1 species
AGUGAACGCUGGCGGUAGGCCUAACACAUGCAAGUCGAACGGCAGCACAGUAAGAGCUUGCUCUUACGGGUGGCGAGUGGCGGACGGGUGAGGAAUACAUCGGAAUCUACCUUUUCGUGGGGGAUAACGUAGGGAAACUUACGCUAAUACCGCAUACGACCUACGGGUGAAAGCAGGGGAUCUUCGGACCUUGCGCGAUUGAAUGAGCCGAUGUCGGAUUAGCUAGUUGGCGGGGUAAAGGCCCACCAAGGCGACGAUCCGUAGCUGGUCUGAGAGGAUGAUCAGCCACACUGGAACUGAGACACGGUCCAGACUCCUACGGGAGGCAGCAGUGGGGAAUAUUGGACAAUGGGCGCAAGCCUGAUCCAGCCAUACCGCGUGGGAGAAGAAGGCCUUCGGGUUGUAAAGCCCUUUUGUUGGGAAAGAAAAGCAGCAGGUUAAUACCCCGCUGUUCUGACGGUACCCAAAGAAUAAGCACCGGCUAACUUCGUG